GGGCGAUUAGCUCAGUGGGAGAGCGCUACCUUGACACGGUAGAGGUCACUGGUUCAAUCCCAGUAUCGCCCACCC
rnacentral:tRNA from 11 species